rnacentral:rRNA from 1 species
GAUGAACGCUAGCGGCAGGCUUAAUACAUGCAAGUCGUGGGGCAGCAGGUCUGUAGCAAUACAGAUGCUGGCGACCGGCAAACGGGUGCGUAACACGUACGCAACCUUCCCGUUACUGGGGAAUAGCCCAGGGAAACUUGGAUUAAUACCCCAUAUUAUAUUGGUUAGGCAUCUGACUGAUAUCAAAGCUUCGGCGGUAACGGAUGGGCGUGCGGUUGAUUAGGUAGUUGGCGGGGUAACGGCCCACCAAGCCUACGAUCAAUAGCUGAUGUGAGAGCAUGAUCAGCCACACGGGCACUGAGACACGGGCCCGACUCCUACGGGAGGCAGCAGUAAGGAAUAUUGGGCAAUGGACGAAAGUCUGACCCAGCCAUGCCGCGUGAAGGAUGAAGGUCCUCUGGAUUGUAAACUUCUUUUAUCUGGGGCGAAAAUCGGUUAUUCAUAGCCGCUUGACAGUACCAGAUGAAUAAGCACCGGCUAACUCCGUGCCAGCCGCCGCCGUAAUAC